rnacentral:rRNA from 1 species
AUGGCAAUUGUCCAUACAUACGGGAAGCCUGACAUCUUCUUGACCAUGACCUGCAAUCCUAACUGGGAAUAUAUAUCGAAUGAAUUGUUUCCUGGCCAUACAACGCAAGACCGACCUGAUCUUGUGGCUCGCGUGUUCCAUGGAAAGCUAGAGGCUAUGAAAGAGAUGUUGUUCAAGAAGCAUAUCAUGGGUCUUGUUGUCGCAUAUGGAUACGUAGUCGAGAUUCAGAAGAUGGGCCUCCCCCAUGCACACUUUCUGUUGAUCAUGGAUUCAACAUAUAAGCUCGUCGUUCCGGAGCGGUACUAUCUGUGUGUGCCGCUAAACCAUGUUCCGGCUAAGACAUCCUUCGAGGACCUGCUCACCGUGGACGGAAGGCUAUGUGGGAGCUUUCGAGAGGCUGCUGAGAGGCUAGGACUCAUCGAGGCAGAUAACACGGUCGACGAUUGUCUUACUGAGGCAGAGCAGUGGGCGAUGCCCUGUUCGCUUAGGAGGCUCUUCGCAACAAUCUUGGUGCAUUGUGAGACAGGCAAUGUGCAUGGUUUAUGGGAUAGACACUUCGAGCCUAUGCCUGAUGACUAUCGUCGAUCACACACGUGCCCGAAUGAGGUGGAGCAGAUGUCUAAGCGAGAAAAAAUAAAAUAA